rnacentral:rRNA from 1 species
UACAGAGGGUGCAAGCGUUAAUCGGAAUUACUGGGCGUACAGCGCGCGUAGACGGUUAUAUAAGUCGGGUGUGAAAGCCCCGGGCUCAACCUGGGAAUUGCAUUCGAGACUGUGUAGCUAGGGUGCGGAAGAGGGAAGCGGAAUUUCCGGUGUAGCGGUGAAAUGCGUAGAUAUCUGAAGGAACACCAGUGGCGAAAGCGGCUUCCUGGCCUAGCACCGACGUUCAGGCGCGAAAGCGUGGGGAGCAAACAGG